CUGGCGGCGUGCCUAACACAUGCAAGUCGAACGGAGAGCAUAUGAAGUAUUCGGUACGGAAUGCGUUCUUAGUGGCGAACGGGUGAGUAACACGUGGGCAACCUGCCCCAGACUGGGGGAUAACAUUGUGAAAACAGUGCUAAUACCGCAUGACAGGGUUCCGGGCAUCCGGGACUCUUGAAAGGAGAAAUCCGGUCAGGGAUGGGCCCGCGUCCAAUUAGCUAGUUGGUGGGGUAACGGCCCACCAAGGCGACGAUUGGUAGCCGAACUGAGAGGUUGAUCGGCCACAUUGGGACUGAGACACGGCCCAGACUCCUACGGGAGGCAGCAGUGGGGAAUAUUGGGCAAUGGGCGAAAGCCCUGACCCAGCGACGCCGCGUGGAGGAUGAAGGUCUUCGGAUUGUAAACUUCUUUGAUCAGGGAAGAAAGAAAUGACGGUACCUGAAAAACAAGCCACGGCUAACUACGUGCCAGCCGCCGC
rnacentral:rRNA from 1 species